GCAACCAUAGUUUAGUGAUAAAACAUUUGCCUUCCAAGCAAAGGAUAGGGGUUUGAUUCCCCUUGGUUGCUCCA
rnacentral:tRNA from 1 species